rnacentral:tRNA from 1 species
GCGUCGGUGGUUCAGUGGUAAAAUACACGCCUGCCAUGCGGGUGACCCGGGUUCGAUUCCCGGCUGACGCA